rnacentral:tRNA from 1 species
GCCAGCGUAUCCGAGUAGUUUAAGGAGGCGGCCUGCAGAGCCGUUGCUUUUCAGCAUCGUGGGUGCAAAUCCCACCGCUGGCUCCA